rnacentral:misc_RNA from 1 species
GAAAUGCGAUACGUAGUGUGAAUUGCAGGUGUCUGUGAAUCAUCGAAAUUUUGAACGCAAGUGGCGCUGCCAAAAGCAGCAUACUUGUUCGAGUGUUGGUAACAACAAUACUCACAAAAAAUCUUUUUUUUUUUUGUGGCUUUGAGAUGUCUUUUCUUUUUGAAGAAGAAAAGUCUCUUCAAGUAUAAUGCUAUCAUUACAGUGAGAGGUAUACCAAACAUAUAUAUGUAUGGCCUUCCUCUUUCUCGAAAAAUACACAAGAGAUGUUCCUAAGUGCAUUACGCACAUUUUAACAUUUCUUCAUUUUUCAAUGGGAAAUAGGAUCAGGUGUAUAUAUGGCUUUUCACAUAUAGAUGGUUAUAGAUCAUCAGGUAAAGCAACAAUAUCAACAUAUUAUUAUUAUUAUUAUUAGUAUUGUUGUUUGUUGUUAUUUACUUUGAUGUUCAUAUACAUUAUGUAAAAAUCAACCUCGAAUCAAGUAAGACUACCCGCUGAACUUAAGC